GAGUGAUAUGAUGGCAUACCAUCUUUCGGGACUGACUGAAACAUGGAGAGUCCUUUUUAUUGUUGUACUGAUCACUC
rnacentral:snoRNA from 1 species